rnacentral:lncRNA from 1 species
UCUUCCAACACAACAGUAAAGCAAUUCUUAUGCUCCUUCACUUUCCACGUAUUUAUCGAAGGGUGACUUACCUUUAUGCUAUGCUUCUCAGCACCUGCGCAUUUGGAAAGAGUGUUGAAAGAACAAAUCGCUGAGGGACAACCUAGGACACACAGACCCUGGAAGAAAAUCAUCGUUGUUGUUGAGGGUAUUUACAGCAUGGAAGGGGAAAUUUGUCAACUGCCUGAGAUUGUCUCAAUAUGCAAAAAGUAUAAGGUAAACCAUCCCCUUUUUUUCAGUAUCGAUGAGAGUUUAAGAAACUCUUUGGCAAAAGAGUUCUUGUAAGCUAAUUUCUCUAACAUUGUUUCAGGCUUAUGUCUACUUGGAUGAAGCUCACAGCAUUGGAGCAAUUGGAAAAACAGGCAGGGGAGUUUGCGAGCUUCUUGGAGUUGACACUGCUGAUGUGGACAUAAUGAUGGGAACUUUUACCAAAUCUUUCGGAUCUUGUGGUGGCUAUAUUGCCGGAUCCAAGGUUAGCAAUUAAUUAGUAUGUACUUUUUGUUUACAUAGCAUAUUGUUUAGGCAAGUGGUAGUGCACUUCAUCUUGAAAUCCGCCAAAGUUCUAAUAAUGGUGCUUUCAAUUUCUGCAGGACCUUAUCCAAUAUUUGAAGUACCAUUGCCCGGCUCACCUUUACGCAACAUCAAUCUCAACUCCUUCCGCGCAACAAAUCAUAUCGGCCAUAAAAGUUAUCCUUGGAGAGGACGGUUCUAACAGAGGUAUCUCUAUAGUUUGGUUUGCUCUCAUAAUCUUAAGUUAUAUAUAGUGUCUCAAAAUUCUGCUAAAACCCCUGGGCAGGUGCACAAAAGUUAGCAAGGAUAAGGGAGAACAGCAACUUUUUCAGGGCUGAGUUGCAGAAGAUGGGAUUUGAGGUUCUUGGAGACAAUGAUUCCCCAGUCAUGCCGAUAAUGCUUUACAAUCCUGCGAAAAUCCCAGCCUUCUCAAGGGAAUGCUUGCGAGAAAACGUAAGUGGAACUAUAUUAUACUUUCUCCCAAUAUUUAAUUUGCCUCCCAUACCAGAGAUCAUUAACAUCUAUGCUCAAAACUGUGAACAGGUGGCAGUUGUGGUUGUUGGUUUCCCAGCUACACCUCUGUUGCUAGCCAGGGCUCGUAUUUGUAUAUCCGCAUCUCACUCGAGAGAAGAUCUUAUUAAAGCUCUACAGGUAAACAAAAAGCUUGCAUCACUUGCUCUCUCCCUCCUAUAUUAUUUACCAUAGAGAACUCGAUUCUAUACAUAGUACUUACUAUAAAUGAUUCGAGUUCAUCCACAAAUUGAUUUUGUAUAUUAUAAAUUUGUGCGUGUUAUAUGACAGGUUAUAAGCAAAGCAGGUGACCUUACCGGAAUCAAAUAUUUUCCAGCGGCUCCAAAGAAGCAAGAAGAAGUGAAAGAUACCAUCAAAUUGGACUAAAACGAGGGGGUAAUGGCAUCAUCAAUUUCUAGUACCAGAAGAGGUUCGUCUUUUGUUGGUGUCCCUUCUACUUGUCUUGAAACUUUGUGAUCCUUCUUUCAUUUUGGUUCCUUGGUUUUGUCACAGUUAAAAUUGUAUAGUUGACUUCUUUAAGAACAGAUAUGACAUUUUGUGCUUCACGAAACUAUGUAAAGACCAAUCGUUUCUUUUUUCUUCUUUCCUCUUCUGCUUUGCUUCCACAGAUCGUCAGCAUGUGGGACUCGAUUCUUUUUACCAACCCGAAUGCCAAUCUUUCACAUUUAACUCUAAUCCACAACCAAACCUAAAAUCAUCAUAUAUCCAUGUCUCACUGUUUCGAUGUUCUUAAAAAAAAAAAAAANNNNNNNNNNNNNNNNNNNNNNNNNNCUCACUUUUUUGAUGUUCUUAAAAAAAAAAAAAAAAGAAGCUGUGUGAACAAAAUAAACUAAUUACCUGCUCCGUUUCUACAUACUGAGAUAGCUAAACACUUAACCUAUUCAAUUGCAAGUUCCUUAUCAUCAAGACCACCCGUGGAAACGUCUCAGGCGAAUCAAAAGGAGUAGAAAACCUUCUUCUUUUUCACUUCUACUUAUACAAACACUAGUACAGUAGCUAAUGCUACAAUCAAAAACUAAACAGCAAAGAUGAGAAACAAUCAGAGGAAUGGCAUACUAAGGCAAAAAGGACGAAAAGGCUUUCAGACAUUGCCAUGUCUGACUAUCUCACCAACAAACAACAAAAACACAGUCGAAAUUCUCCAACAUCCAUCAGGAGAACUCCCUACCAAGCUUCUGAAUAGCAGAGAACAUCUUCCUCCUGGACCCAACAGCAUUAAUCCCCAUAUCUUUCAAAUCCUCCAAGGUCAACAACGGCAAAACCUCUUCAUCAACCUCAUGUAUCUCAAACAUUGGCCAGUACCUCCCUAACCCCAGCUCUUGCAGCCAAAUCUUCACCCCUUCUCUUCCCUCCAUAUUGGAGGGCUCUGACAACUCAAACUCUCUGUUGUAAUACCCACCACCGUCUCUCACUAAAGACUCGUCCUUUAUCGGACUCUCCGAAUCUUCUCUACUGAAAUCCCUAUACCCCCCACCUUCCAGCUCAUCGCCGUGAUCCAUUUCCCCAACUCUCGACACCCAAUUGGAUCUCACUCGCUUCGUCGACGGCCCGACCCGUUUCUUGACCCGCCAGCUCCCGACACCGAAAGAAUCGACAUUCACUUCCCUUUCGUCACCUAGGUUAUCGUACCCAGAACUCAAUUUAUGCUAUGCUUCUCAGCACCUGCGCAUUUGGAAAGAGUGUUGAAAGAACAAAUCGCUGAGGGACAACCUAGGACACACAGACCCUGGAAGAAAAUCAUCGUUGUUGUUGAGGGUAUUUACAGCAUGGAAGGGGAAAUUUGUCAACUGCCUGAGAUUGUCUCAAUAUGCAAAAAGUAUAAGGUAAACCAUCCCCUUUUUUUCAGUAUCGAUGAGAGUUUAAGAAACUCUUUGGCAAAAGAGUUCUUGUAAGCUAAUUUCUCUAACAUUGUUUCAGGCUUAUGUCUACUUGGAUGAAGCUCACAGCAUUGGAGCAAUUGGAAAAACAGGCAGGGGAGUUUGCGAGCUUCUUGGAGUUGACACUGCUGAUGUGGACAUAAUGAUGGGAACUUUUACCAAAUCUUUCGGAUCUUGUGGUGGCUAUAUUGCCGGAUCCAAGGUUAGCAAUUAAUUAGUAUGUACUUUUUGUUUACAUAGCAUAUUGUUUAGGCAAGUGGUAGUGCACUUCAUCUUGAAAUCCGCCAAAGUUCUAAUAAUGGUGCUUUCAAUUUCUGCAGGACCUUAUCCAAUAUUUGAAGUACCAUUGCCCGGCUCACCUUUACGCAACAUCAAUCUCAACUCCUUCCGCGCAACAAAUCAUAUCGGCCAUAAAAGUUAUCCUUGGAGAGGACGGUUCUAACAGAGGUAUCUCUAUAGUUUGGUUUGCUCUCAUAAUCUUAAGUUAUAUAUAGUGUCUCAAAAUUCUGCUAAAACCCCUGGGCAGGUGCACAAAAGUUAGCAAGGAUAAGGGAGAACAGCAACUUUUUCAGGGCUGAGUUGCAGAAGAUGGGAUUUGAGGUUCUUGGAGACAAUGAUUCCCCAGUCAUGCCGAUAAUGCUUUACAAUCCUGCGAAAAUCCCAGCCUUCUCAAGGGAAUGCUUGCGAGAAAACGUAAGUGGAACUAUAUUAUACUUUCUCCCAAUAUUUAAUUUGCCUCCCAUACCAGAGAUCAUUAACAUCUAUGCUCAAAACUGUGAACAGGUGGCAGUUGUGGUUGUUGGUUUCCCAGCUACACCUCUGUUGCUAGCCAGGGCUCGUAUUUGUAUAUCCGCAUCUCACUCGAGAGAAGAUCUUAUUAAAGCUCUACAGGUAAACAAAAAGCUUGCAUCACUUGCUCUCUCCCUCCUAUAUUAUUUACCAUAGAGAACUCGAUUCUAUACAUAGUACUUACUAUAAAUGAUUCGAGUUCAUCCACAAAUUGAUUUUGUAUAUUAUAAAUUUGUGCGUGUUAUAUGACAGGUUAUAAGCAAAGCAGGUGACCUUACCGGAAUCAAAUAUUUUCCAGCGGCUCCAAAGAAGCAAGAAGAAGUGAAAGAUACCAUCAAAUUGGACUAAAACGAGGGGGUAAUGGCAUCAUCAAUUUCUAGUACCAGAAGAGGUUCGUCUUUUGUUGGUGUCCCUUCUACUUGUCUUGAAACUUUGUGAUCCUUCUUUCAUUUUGGUUCCUUGGUUUUGUCACAGUUAAAAUUGUAUAGUUGACUUCUUUAAGAACAGAUAUGACAUUUUGUGCUUCACGAAACUAUGUAAAGACCAAUCGUUUCUUUUUUCUUCUUUCCUCUUCUGCUUUGCUUCCACAGAUCGUCAGCAUGUGGGACUCGAUUCUUUUUACCAACCCGAAUGCCAAUCUUUCACAUUUAACUCUAAUCCACAACCAAACCUAAAAUCAUCAUAUAUCCAUGUCUCACUGUUUCGAUGUUCUUAAAAAAAAAAAAAAAGAAGCUGUGUGAACAAAAUAAACUAAUUACCUGCUCCGUUUCUACAUACUGAGAUAGCUAAACACUUAACCUAUUCAAUUGCAAGUUCCUUAUCAUCAAGACCACCCGUGGAAACGUCUCAGGCGAAUCAAAAGGAGUAGAAAACCUUCUUCUUUUUCACUUCUACUUAUACAAACACUAGUACAGUAGCUAAUGCUACAAUCAAAAACUAAACAGCAAAGAUGAGAAACAAUCAGAGGAAUGGCAUACUAAGGCAAAAAGGACGAAAAGGCUUUCAGACAUUGCCAUGUCUGACUAUCUCACCAACAAACAACAAAAACACAGUCGAAAUUCUCCAACAUCCAUCAGGAGAACUCCCUACCAAGCUUCUGAAUAGCAGAGAACAUCUUCCUCCUGGACCCAACAGCAUUAAUCCCCAUAUCUUUCAAAUCCUCCAAGGUCAACAACGGCAAAACCUCUUCAUCAACCUCAUGUAUCUCAAACAUUGGCCAGUACCUCCCUAACCCCAGCUCUUGCAGCCAAAUCUUCACCCCUUCUCUUCCCUCCAUAUUGGAGGGCUCUGACAACUCAAACUCUCUGUUGUAAUACCCACCACCGUCUCUCACUAAAGACUCGUCCUUUAUCGGACUCUCCGAAUCUUCUCUACUGAAAUCCCUAUACCCCCCACCUUCCAGCUCAUCGCCGUGAUCCAUUUCCCCAACUCUCGACACCCAAUUGGAUCUCACUCGCUUCGUCGACGGCCCGACCCGUUUCUUGACCCGCCAGCUCCCGACACCGAAAGAAUCGACAUUCACUUCCCUUUCGUCACCUAGGUUAUCGUACCCAGAACUCAAAUUCGUCAAAGCUCGAGUCCUCGUCGACGACUUGCUCAUAUCUUUCUUGGGUUUCCUCACCUGCGAAUCGUACGCCGUUUGGUACUGCUCGCCGCCGAUUUCGCCUAAUCUAACGCUCGGUCUCCUCAAUCGCUUCGAUCCGGCCAGAGCUUCGGCUGAUGUUGACGGCAGAGAAGGAGGAACGCCGCCGUUGGGUUGCUGGCUAUUGUCGUUGCCUGGUUGCAAUUCCGCCAUUCGAGAGGUUUCUUGCUUCACUUUGUCGGGCAUAGAUGUGAUGCUACUAAAGAACAUGAAAGGGCAAAAGUCUUUUAGCUAAUUAGGGUUUUUUAUCUGGGGAAGUCUGAGGUGGGAUGUGAGAAAGAGAAUCGUCAUCACUAGAGUCGCACAAGAGAGAUAGAGGGAAGAGAAUACAUGUUCACUUCCUGACACGUGUACGCUUAUGCACACACUCACUCACAGUUAUUUAAUUAUAAACAAAUCCUUUCCCUUCUCCUAAUUUUAUUUUUGUUUUUACAAUAAAACCUCUAUAAAUUAAUAAUGUCGAAACUUUAAAAUUUUAUUAACAUUUGGAAAGAGUGUUGAAAGAACAAAUCGCUGAGGGACAACCUAGGACACACAGACCCUGGAAGAAAAUCAUCGUUGUUGUUGAGGGUAUUUACAGCAUGGAAGGGGAAAUUUGUCAACUGCCUGAGAUUGUCUCAAUAU